rnacentral:rRNA from 1 species
ACUCCUACGGGAGGCAGCAGUAGGGAAUCUUCCGCAAUGGACGAAAGUCUGACGGAGCAACGCCGCGUGAGUGAUGAAGGUUUUCGGAUCGUAAAACUCUGUUGUUAGGGAAGAACAAGUACAAGAGUAACUACUUGUACCUUGACGGUACCUAACCAGAAAGCCACGGCUAACUACGUGCCAGCAGCCGCGGUAAUACGUAGGUGGCAAGCGUUGUCCGGAAUUAUUGGGCGUAAAGCGCGCGCAGGCGGUCCUUUAAGUCUGAUGUGAAAGCCCACGGCUCAACCGUGGAGGGUCAUUGGAAACUGGGGGACUUGAGUGCAGAAGAGAAGAGUGGAAUUCCACGUGUAGCGGUGAAAUGCGUAGAGAUGCGGAGGAACACCAGUGGCGAAGGCGACUCUUUGGUCUGUAACUGACGCUGAGGCGCGAAAGCGUGGGGAGCAAACAGGAUUAGAUACCCUGGUAGUC